AUGGGAGGACUUUGCCUCCUUUCAGGAAACAGACCAGCUCCUGGGCUGUCUCAAUGCCUCCAGGGCUGGAGACUGGCUCCUCCCAAGAUCGCAGCCAAAAUUGGAGGUGAUGCUGCAAACAGCACUCCUGAUUUUGCUUUGUGGGGCGGGGGGGAGGGGUAAUGAGACAGUUGGAAGAUGGAGAUCAACCGGAGAGCAAGAAGCUGGCUUCUCAGGGAGACGCAAUCAGUUACCAACUUGGACCUAUCCAUCGUCCUCCAAGGACUUCAAUGACAGAAGAGUACAAGGUCCCAGAGGGCAUGGUGGGCCUGAUCUUUGGCAGAGGGGGAGAACAAAUUGACAAAAUCCAACAGGAUUCAGCCUGCAAAGUACAGAUUACUCCAGACAGCAGUGGCCUAUCCGAGCACAAUGUGUCCUUGACAGGAGCCCCAGAAUCUCUACAGAAAGCGAAGAUGAUGCUGGAUGACAUUAUGUCUCGGGGUCAUAAGAGGACCCCAGGACAGUUCCACAACUCCCACAGGGGCCAGAACGGUACCGUGCAGGACAUGGUCCCUGUGGGGAAGGCCGGCCUUGUCAUCGCUAACGGCGGGGAGACCAUGAAGCAGCUGCAGGAACGCGCUGGAGUGAAGAUGAUCUUAAUUCAGGAUGGUUCUCAGAAUACCAAUGUGGACAAUCCUCUCCGGAUCCCUGGGGAUCCUUACAAAGUGCAGCAAGCCUGGGAGAUGGUGAUGGACAUCCUCCAGGAACGUGACCAAGGCGGCUUUGGGGACCGGAAAGAGCAGGGAUCUUGGAUUGGCGGGGGGCAUCCAUGUGCAGGUGCCCAGGCAUUCUGUCGGCGUGGUUAUUGGCCGGAAAGGAGAGAUGAUUAAGAAGAUCCAGAAUGACGCUGGUGUGAGGAUACAGUUCAAGCAAGAUGAUGGGACAGGGCCCGAGAAGACUGCUCAUAAAAUGAGGUCCCCAGACUGGUGCAAGCACGCAGCCUGGAUCAUCAACGACCGCCUCCAGAGCCUCAGGCGUGGCCCCCCCAGGCCCUCCAGGGGGUCCAGGCAUGCCCCCGGGGAGGCCGAGGAAGAGGCCAAGGCAACUGGGGGACCCCUGCGGGGAGAUGACCUUCUCCAUCCCCACUCACAAGUGCGGGCAUCAUGAUCAUCAUAGAGAUCUCCUGGCAGCUACCACCCAGCGGGGAUCCCAACUUCAAGUUGUUCAUUAUCCAGGGCUCACCCCAGCAGAUCCACCACACCAGGCAGCUUAUCGAGGGGGCUCUUCAAUCAGGGGCCACCUGGGCUCCCCCGCAUGCCAGGGGGCUCCCUCCUCACCAGGGCCGGGGCAAUACCUACCCUUAGUGGCAACCACCUGCUCCUCACUACCCAAGCAAAGCAGCUGCGGCUACCGCGGACCCCAACGCCACAUGGGCCGCCUACUACUCACACUACCACCAGCAGUCCCCGGGCGCGACGCCGGACCCCGGGGCUCCACCCGCUCAAGGUGAGCCCCCUCAGUCCCCGCCCACCGGCCAGUCGGACUACACUAAGGCCUGGGAAGAGUAUUACAAAAAGAUCGGACAGCAGCCCCAGCAGCCGGAAGCGCCCGGCAGCACGACUACACCGAGGCCUGGGAAGAGUACUACAAGAAGCAGGCGCAAGUGGCCCCCGGAGCGGGUCCAGGAGCUCCCCCAGGCUCCCAGCCAGACUACAGUGCAGCCUGGGGAGAAAAUCACAGACAGCAAACCGCUUACUACUGACAGAUCCCAGGUCCUGGCGGCCCCCAGCCACCGCCCACGCAGCAGGGACAGCAACAGGCUCAAUGA